rnacentral:piRNA from 1 species
UCCUCUGUGAAAGGUGUCUGCCAUGCCUGG